UACGUAGGGUCCAAGCGUUAUCCGGAAUCACUGGGCGUAAAGUGUGCGUAGGUGGUUUGUUAAGUGUAUUGCGAAAUCCUGUGGCUCAACCAUAUGGACUGUAAUGCAUACUGGCAAACUAGAGGACGGCAGAGGCAAGUGGAAUUACUGGUGUAGCAGUGAAAUGCGUAGAGAUCAGUAGGAACACCAAUGGCGAAGGCAGCUUGCUGGGCCGACCCUGACGCUAAGGCACGAAAGCAUGGGGAGCGAACAGG
rnacentral:rRNA from 1 species